rnacentral:rRNA from 1 species
AUCCUGGCUCAGAUUGAACGCUGGCGGAAUGCUUUACACAUGCAAGUCGAACGGUAGAGGGGGCAACCCCUCGAGAGUGGCGAACGGGUGAGUAAUAUAUCGGAACGUGCCCAGUAGUGGGGGAUAACUGCUCGAAAGAGCAGCUAAUACCGCAUACGACCUGAGGGUNAAAGGGGGGGAUCGCAAGACCUCUCGCUAUUGGAGCGGCCGAUAUCAGAUUAGCUAGUUGGUGGGGUAAAGGCCUACCAAGGCAACGAUCUGUAGUUGGUCUGAGAGGACGACCAGCCACACUGGGACUGAGACACGGCCCAGACUCCUACGGGAGGCAGCAGUGAGGAAUAUUGGACAAUGGGCGCAAGCCUGAUCCAGCCAUGCCGCGUGCAGGAUGAAGCAUCUAUGGUGUGUAAACUGCUUUUGUACGAGAAGAAACACUCCUUCGUGAAGGGGCUUGACGGUAUCGUAAGAAUAAGGAUCGGCUAACUCCGUG